rnacentral:rRNA from 1 species
GGUUUAAUUCGAAGCAACGCGAAGAACCUUACCUAGGUUCUUGACACCCCGAUGCUAUUUCUAGAGAUAGAAGUUACUUCGGUACAUCGGUGACAGGUGGUGCAUGGUUGUCGUCAGCUCGUGUCGUGAGAUGUUGGGUUAAGUCCCGCAACGAGCGCAACCCCUAUUGUUAGUUGCCAUCAUUCAGUUGGGCACUCUAGCGAGACUGCCGGUAAUAAACCGGAGGAAGGUGGGGAUGACGUCAAAUCAUCAUGCCCCUUAUGACCUGGGCUACACACGUGCUACAAUGGUUGGUACAACGAGUUGCGAGUCGGUGACGGCGAGCUAAUCUCUUAAAGCUAAUCUCAGUUCGGAUUGUAGUCUGCAACUCGACUACAUGAAGUUGGAAUCGCUAGUAAUGGCAGAUCAGCAUGCUGCCGUGAAUACGUUCCCGGGUCUU